rnacentral:rRNA from 1 species
GGAAUCAGGGUUCGAUUCCGGAGAGGGAGCCUGAGAAACGGCUACCACAUCCAAGGAAGGCAGCAGGCACGCAAAUUACCCAAUCCCAGAACGGGGAGGUAGUGACGAAAAAUAACAAUACGGGACUCUUAUGAGGCCCCGUAAUUGGAAUGAGAACAAUCUAAAUCCUUUAACGAGGAUCUAUUGGAGGGCAAGUCUGGUGCCAGCAGCCGCGGUAAUUCCAGCUCCAAUAGCGUAUAUUAAAGUUGUUGUGGUUAAAAAGCUCGUAGUUGGAUCUCAGUUCGAGUCAGGCGGUCCACUUGCCAGUGGCUACUGCCUGACUGAACACUUUACCGAGUUGUCCUAUGGUGUUCUUCACCGAGCGUCAUAGGCGAUCGGUACGUUUACUUUGAAAAAAUUAGAGUGCUCAAAGCAGGCGUAACGCCCGAAUAAUGUUGCAUGGAAUAAUGGAAUAGGACCUCGGUUCUAUUUUGUUGGUCUUCGGAAUCAGAGGUAAUGAUCAAUAGGGACAGACGGGGACAUUCGUAUUGCGGCGCUAGAGGUGAAAUUCUUGGACCGUCGCAAGACGAACUAAAGCGAAAGCAUUUGUCAAGAAUGUUUACAUUAAUCAAGAACGAAAGUUAGAGGUUCGAAGGCGAUCAGAUACCGCCCUAGUUCUAACCAUAAACGAUGCCAACCAGUAAUUCGUCUGAGUUCCUUAAAUGACUCGACGAGGGACUCCCGGGAAACCAAAGUCUUUCGGUUCCAGGGGAAGUAUGGUUGCAAAGCUGAAACUUAAAGAAAUUGACGGAAGGGCACCACCAGGAGUGGAGCCUGCGGCUUAAUUUGACCCAACACGGGAAAACUCACCCGGCCCGGACACUGGAAGGAUUGACAGAUUGAGAGCUCUUUCUUGAUUCAGUGGGUGGUGGUGCAUGGCCGUUCUUAGUUGGUGGAGUGAUUUGUCUGGUUAAUUCCGAUAACGAACGAGACUCUAGCCUACUAAAUAGAUCGUCGGCUUACAAACGCCGGCGAGACUUCUUAGAGGGACAGGCGGUGAUUCAACCGCACGAAGCAGAGCAAUAACAGGUCUGUGAUGCCCUUAGAUGUCCGGGGCCGCACGCGCGCUACACUGAAGUGAUCAGCGUGCUUUUUCAACCUACUCUGUCAAGAGUGGGGAACCCAAUGAACCUUCUUCGUGAUUGGGAUAGGGGAUUGUAAUUAUUCCCCUUGAACGAGGAAUUCCCAGUAAGCGCGAGUCAUAAGCUCGCGUUGAUUACGUCCCUGCCCUUUGUACGCACCGCCCGUCGCUACUACCGAUUGAAUGUUUUAGUGAGGUCUUCGGACUGGCCGGCGCAGCACUCUCGUAGUGCAGCGCUGUGUUUGGAAAGAUGCCCAAACUUGAACAUUUAGAGGAAGUAAAAGUCGUAACAAGGUU